rnacentral:rRNA from 1 species
AACGAACGCUGGCGGCAGGCCUAACACAUGCAAGUCGAGCGAGGACUUCGGUCCUAGCGGCGGACGGGUGAGUAACGCGUGGGAACGUGCCCCUUGGUACGGACUGGCCCCGGGAAACUGGGAGUAAUACCGUAUGAGCUCUACGGAGGAAAGAUUUAUCGCCAAGGGAUCGGCCCGCGUUGGAUUAGGUAGUUGGUGGGGUAAUGGCCUACCAAGCCGACGAUCCAUAGCUGGUUGGAGAGGAUGAUCAGCCACACUGGGACUGAGACACGGCCCAGACUCCUACGGGAGGCAGCAGUGGGGAAUCUUAGACAAUGGGCGCAAGCCUGAUCUAGCCAUGCCGCGUGAGCGAUGAAGGCCUUAGGGUUGUAAAGCUCUUUCAGCUGGGAAGAUAAUGACUGUACCAGCAGAAGAAGCCCCGGCUAACUCCGUGCCAGCCGCCGCAGUAA